AGCGAACGCUGGCGGCAGGCCUAAUACAUGCAAGUCGAGCGCACCUUCGGGUGAGCGGCGGACGGGUGAGUAACGCGUGGGAACGUGCCCUUUGGUACGGGAUAACUGAGGGAAACUUCCGCUAAUACCGUAUGUGCCCUACGGGGGAAAGAUUUAUCGCCAUUGGAGCGGCCCGCGUUGGAUUAGGUAGUUGGUGGGGUAAAGGCCAACCAAGCCGACGAUCCAUAGCUGGUCUGAGAGGAUGAUCAGCCACACUGGGACUGAGACACGGCCCAGACUCCUACGGGAGGCAGCAGUAGGGAAUCUUGCGCAAUGGGCGAAAGCCUGACGCAGCCAUGCCGCGUGAAUGGUGAAGGUCUUAGGAUUGUAAAAUUCUUUCUCCGGGGAAGAUAAUGACGGUACCCGGAUAAGAAGCCCCGGCUAACUUCGUGCCAGCCGCCGCAGUAACAC
rnacentral:rRNA from 1 species